UACUCUGGAAAGACCCUACGCUUUAGCCAUCUCUUCAGCUGCCUGAUUCCGACACCGAUCCCGCUCUUUCAGAGCACUUUCCUGUGGCAUUUCCCCAUGUUGGGGGACGGGUGAUGGGGUCGGGGUGCCGGGGGCGAGCAGGGGACACGCGGGUGACACCAGGCACCGGCGAAGUCUGCUCCAUCGCUGCUGCGCCUGUGAGGACCCUCCGACACUGUGUGGCACACCGGUGGUGGUGUAGUGGGUUAGGUCUCAGACUGCUAACCUAAAACUUGUGAGUUCUAGUUCUGGUGUCAUGGUGUUAUAGGUAACAACUAAAUUAGGCCAAAUCAGUAAUUUGAGAAAGCCAAAUUAAAGUUCACAAAAAGGAAAUAGAUUUUAUUUCACGAAUCGGAUUACAAUCUAUUCCAGCCACAAAUCAAAGGAACAGAGCCGAGCCCGGGACUUGACUCUGGGUGAACGCAGUUCUGACCCCCUUUCACAUCAGAUCUGGUCCGUGCUGGAGAGUGGGAGAAAGGUCCAUGGUGGUUGAUGUGUCCUCAGUGGGCAGAGAGCUCUGACCUUGGCCGGAUGGGCUGCAGAGCAGCGGCAGCUCGCACCUGUGGCCCACCGGGCCGGGCCUGGGCCGCGGCAUUUCCAGCACUGGAGGGACUGGUAAGAGACUGAGUGAGCUGAGCUGCAACCCGGGGAGGGGACUUUUCUGAGUUUGUCAUCUCUUUUGGAGCAACAAGAGGUUUUAUUGUUUCAUAUUGUUUAGGUUUUAUUGUUUCAUAAACAGUUCUUUCCACUUUUCUCCAAGGAGGUAUUUUCUCCUGAACUGGUUGGGGGGAGGGGCCAAUUGAAUCUGCUUUUCUAGAGGAGCCCCUUUGGGGGUUCUCUCCCAAAUUUGCCCUGAACCAGGACCCUUGCCUCCUUGUGAACAAGUUGUUUUAAGGAGUCAUCAGCAGGGACCACUUUUAGCUGGCUUUAGUUCAGUUUCUUUUUCACAGGUUUCUGGGUGUUUAGAUCCUGACAUCGCCAAACCCUCAAGUUUGCUGAAUUAGGGCUCUUAGCUGUAUGGCCUAUGAAAUGUCCCGGAAGCCGAUUGAUGUCUUCGUGCUCCUGUUGUGUUAAUUUGGGCUGUGCUUCAGGCUUCUCUUUCUGGGCUCUUGCAGUAGCUGUAUCUCUUGGAUGGUGUGCAGAAUGGAAUCAGGCAGCCAAACCUCAGGUUCACCUUCUCCCUGACCCUCUAUGUUGAUCGUGUGGGACAGCAGAUUCUGAAGCCAGGUACUGGAACUUGCUGUGUGUGCCACUGCUGUGGUGAAAAACAGAGCCUUGGGGAGUGUUGAUCUCCUCACCUGCUUUGUGCUCGUGCACUCUUUGACUGAGCUUUUCGUUCUGGGGAAGAGAAGAGGAGGGUGGGCAGCAAUCAAAUGAGCCUCAGAGCAAAGGCCUUCUGCAGUUGCUGGGCUGUUCUCCCAGCUUGGAACACUGCACUACAGCUUCCACUUAUUGUUGUCCGUGGUUGUAGAUUGGGAGCAUUGUCCUCCUCCAUGAUGCCAGCAUUUUCACAGAGGAGCACAUGUACAUAAAGGUAAGCGUAUUCCUUCUGUCAUGCCAGUAUUUGGACCUGAGGAAGGUACCAGGUUUUUUCCAGCUUUUCUACAGUUUUUAUUUUGAGGUAAGAGUCCCAUUUUAGGUAUCCAGUAAUUCUUCAGAAAUGUAUUGGAAACAGCUGUAAAAAUACAAUGAAAUCUCAUUCUCCCAUGGGUAGUUAAUUAGAGGCAUCUUCCUCAUGUUUCAUAUUGGAAAGAAAAAUGUUAUUUCUGUGGGCUUGUUGUUUUCUUAAUACUAACACACAAGGGGUUGUGCUGUGUAUGCUCUGUGAGCACAAUAAACAGAAUAUUCUGCCCCAGCUAGCUACAAUUCCUCUUUGAGUUUAGAUUAGUAACUUUGAGUUCAACUGAAGUAUUUUAGAAAUAGCAACUUCUAAAAUUCUAUUUCAGCUUCUUGUUUGGGCUGCAGACUGACUGUUCCUGAUGGAUGUUAGGUAUUAAAUUUGAUAGGAAUGGAAAAUGAGACGUCCAGAAAAAGCUGUGGUAAGCCCUGAGCUGGCACUCAGAAGGAACCAGGGUUUUGUUGCGGCGUGUCCGCAACUAGCCUCUGUGAGCGACCUGCACUCCCCGAGCUCACAGCACACUUGCUUAAACUGCUGACAAAGGAGGCGAGAGACGGGUCUUUGUGUGGAACUCCAGACGCUGUUUAUUGCGCUGAAGGGGGUCUAGGGACAGAGACAAAAUGGGGCUGAGGACACAGGGGUUUUAUAUGGGGGGAAAAAGGGGCGGAGCGAUACAGCAAGCCAUGACCAAUAGGGGACAAGAGAGAGGAGAACAUUCUAGGAGGAGUACAUAUAAGGUAAAAACAGCAGUUGAACUGGGUGAUACCAACAAAACAUGCUGCAUCAACAUGAGCCUGCAAAUGCCCUUGGGCGAGACCAUUGCAUUCAGAGGGGUGCCUCUCUUUGCCCUGAGGUUAAAGUUCCAAUGGUAGGCCCCUGGGCCUCCACAGGGUUUUGUGCUCUUAGGAGCAGGUAUUCUUUGGAAAUGUCUAAAUGUCUGAUGGUGGUAUUUUUCUUUGUGGCUUCUGGUACAAAACAGAGCGUGAGUGGAUCUUCAGAUUUCUUGGGGAAGGGCUGCAUGACAAACAUUGCUAUGAGCUUUAUGACUACCAGAGCCUUUUCCAGGUCAUUCUAUUCUUUUUCAACAGUCCUUUGUGUCACAAGGGUUCUCAGGUAAGAAUUUUAAAAGAAAGUUCCAAAAAACCCCAGAGCACAGAGGUUUGCGUGGCUUCAAGAUCUCAAGUAGAAAACAGAAAGGAACAGCUGACUCUGCCUUGGCCCUCUUGAAAAUCUGUUCCUUUUUGGUUUUGUGUAUGCGUGGAGGGGGAAAUAAUUGCUUGUGUCUAAACCAGUCCCAUCCUUAUUCCGUGAAACUGGAACAGGUUCCUGCCAUCAUGGAGCCUCACGUGGGUGCCGUGGUUUUGCUGCUACAGUCGCGGACUUUUCUUUUUUUGGGGCCUCUAUUCCCCAACCAGCACAUUUGUUGCCUGAACAGUGCUUCAGCAGGAGGGAAACUCACAUGCCAGGAGCGCUCAGGUUUGGGAGCAUCCACCCUGAGUAUUUCAGGUAUCAAAACCUUGGACAAAAAGAUAAAAUUGUCUUGCUACCUGAAUACUUCUUGUAAGAGCAGCAUAAGUGAUGUGAAGCUUUGAAGGGAGAAUGUCUUUCCUUCCCUGGAGUUGCUGAGAAGAGAUGUUGUUUAUUUUACCUUGAAGUUGAUCAGAUACCAGCCAAAUUGCUAAUUUUAAGUUAGAUAUUUAGAUCCUGACUGUAAGACAACAAGUUACAUUUUCUGUUUCAGAGUUGUAUUCUGGAGAUAUUGCAAAGUGCUGCCUGUGUCACCAGAGCUGCCCAUGAGCUGAUGGAAGAUCACAGCCUCCUCCCGUGGGUCCUGCACAGUUUAGAGAAAAGGUUUCUGGAGAACAAGCAGGGAGCUGCUGCUGCACAAGUGGAGCCUUGUCAGCAAAGACCUGCCGCUGCAAGAGGACCUGCAGGCCCUAGCUCAGAAGUAGCAAAACGAAGAAUUGCUCAAAAAUAUUAAAGACAAGAACGAAACUUCAAGCCUCAUCUCAUGUGUAUCGUCACACUCUGAAAAGGAAAGAGGUGGGAGAAGAUGACGCUGCUGCAGACGUGGAAGUGGCUGAGCUGGAGAAAUGCAGAGAACAUCUGAAUUCUAUACUUGCCCGUUGGGACUGUUUUCCUACCACCACCUUCCACACAGGGAGGGGAGAACCUCAGAGCCGGUGAAGCUGGGGCUGAGGCAGUGGCUGUCACCUGUGCAUUCACUCACACUGUGAGUGGCUGGUGAGGUCCCUGGCUGGGCAGAGCUGCAUCAGGGAGCAGGAUGUGUCACCAGUGCCAAGGUGGCUGCGGAACCACGUCCUACCACACCUGGAGGCCAUGUGGGAGAUGUUCAGGGAUGAGACACUGAGGAACAACCUCUUCAAGCUUUACACCUGGCUCUGCCAGGCCAGCAGCACCUCAGCUGGGCUCUCCAGGCAACUUGGUGGGCUCAGUUCCAUCAUGCUCCAGCUCAUGGAGGAGCAGGGCCUGUCCAGCAACUUCCAUGUCCUUGUGAAAUCCCUGAGCCUAUCAGCAACAGUGGAAGAGGAUGCGGACAAGACAGGUGACUUGUCUUGUUCUUAUCACUCAUGUUAUGAGGCAUGUAACAUGAAGCCGAUAAGAGCCGAGUGUAGCCGGUAAGAGCUGAGUGUAGUCAAAGAGCUGAAUCAGACUGAGAUUUUCUGAACUGAGGUGAGUUUAGGCGAAAAACCGAACCCAGCCGAUUUAACUGGACAGAACCGAAUGUAGCCAUGUUCAGUUGAACACAUCCGAGACUGGCUGAACUUUGCGAGGUCGGCUGAACCGAAGCAAACCAAACAAAAUUUUACCAGCCCAGCCGAACCCAACCAAGCUCUGCCGAACUGAGUCUCCUGCUCUCAUGACCAUUAAUUAGUGCAAGUGCAGUCACUGCCUGAUGAGCUCCUGCCCAACCGUGCGCUCCCGUUGGUGUCCGUGCCAUGGCUGGGCUGCCCGCGGGACACGGCAUCAGGAGAACACCGAGCUUUGCACAUUUAAUGUGAGGUGACGCCGCUUUCCCACGCAGCACCUUGGCCCUGCCUGUGGUGCCCUCAGGGAGCCGAACCAAUCCAGAGAUCAAAUCUGGAUCAAGAUCACGGGCACCAGUGAGUUUUUCAGGAAACAAAAGCAGACGCAGCUGACUGUGCUUGUGGAUGAAAAGCUGCUGGAUUUUUGCAAUUCCCUUCAGUGUGCACAAAAGUGCAGUGCUCUGCUGCUUCAUACUUCGCCUGCUGUGAUCUGCGCAGGAAUGAAGCUGAGCCAGGUUCUUCAGCUUUGCCCCUUUUCAGCAUCUGUGCCACACUGAUGGACUGGAACAUCUCACAGGACCUUUUCCUUUCUCAAGGAUGUAAUGUUGCUGUGUCUUGACGCCACAGGGAGGAGUGGGCAGAGAUCACAGCCAUCUGAAAUCAAUUGGCAGCUUAACUAAAAAAGAGAAAUGCCUCUUCAAUGUGCACGCACAACAGUGUUCAGAGCCAAGAUCGGAAGACUUUUGCUGUGCUGGCACACUUUUUCUCUUGGCAAAAAGUCAUGGGAAAGCUUUUCGCUAGGAUGCAGACGACAAGAGACGCAGAAGCUGGAGGUACGGGGCUGUCCGGAGCGAAGUGCCGCUCCCAGGCGUCUUUCGCCCAAAGCAAUGCUUCGGAGCACACUGCCACCGGCACAACCAGCAGUGCGCGAAGAAGUGGCUCUUUCGCCUCUGGGAGACUGAGAACGCGGCAGCUUGCAGGAAGCGCAGAAGCAAGCCGCACAACAGCGGCAUUGUGUGCGCAGCUUUCUAACUGCUGAGGGAUGGUGGUUUCCCACUUGCAUGCCUUUUAAAUUCACAUUUUUUUUUUCUAAAUCAGACACUGUCUAUUCAUAAGACUCAGAUGCCCAAGGUGGAGGUGUAAUUAAGUUUCAUGUUCACUGUUAAAAAAAUAUCCUUCUUGUUAUCUUUUUAUUAAAUUACUGACAUGGAACAUCAGUCUAAGAGCUGGUAAAAAACCCUUCACUUUUUGUUUGCCAAGCAUCAUCUAUGUGAUACUAAUUCUACUAGAUAAAUCACACCCACAUGUUGCUGUAUAAUACUACUAGUAAUGCCUUCACAACCUUUUCUUCAUCCUUAGGUAUUUUGGUGAAGUGAAUGAUUCGAACAUGAGCAAGAGCAUUUGUUCAAGAUGUUCCAGAAAGAGCUGUGAUCUGUUCUCUUCUUUGCUGCCUAUGUUACCACUGAGGUGUAAAAAAAGAAAGAUUACUAGGAAGAGUGUUACUUUUAGUCUAAAUUUGUAAAUGAUGUUUCAAAUAGCCUGUUAAAUGACAAGAUGCUAUUCUAAAUUUUGGCAUCUUAAGGGAAAAAGCCAGCUUUAAAGAGGUUUUGAGACAGUUGUUUCUGGGAAAAAAAAUGGAGGAAUCUAAGGUCUUUAGCCAUACCAUUUUGAAGAUUGAUUCAAAACACAAUUCCUUCAUCUAGGAAGAACAGAGGACCAUAAAUGCAACCCAUUUCAAAAUGGAGUUCUAUUUGUUUCUGGUUGGGAUUACUGGACAUAAUUUCUUGUAAAGUCGAGGGACUGCAGUUAGCUCUCCAGUCAUUUCCUUCCCUGAAAUUCAUCUGCAUUUGCUCCUUUGUCCAGAGUCCCCAUUUCUUAGUGAUGGUAUACUCCAUCUAUGCAUUAGAAUAUUCAACUAGAGUGUGUGUCUCUUACAUUCUAGUUAAAAUUGGCUGGAGCGGAAUGGAUCUUUACAGUUACUUGGAUAGUUAUUCUAGACAAGUGUUGCUCCACAGACCAUUGCUCUAUUUGUCCUUUUCUACUUCUUCUAUCAUUUUUCUGCUGACAAAUCUUAUGACUACUGCUUAGCUCCAGUCACAGUUCUGCUGUCUCUAAGGCCUGCCUUUUGCAGCUUUCCCAGAACCCUCUAAUUUGAAGGAUUGCCCCAGGCAAUCGCCAACUAUAUGGAGUUGAACAAGGGCAAGUGCUGCAUUCAGCACCUGGGACAGGGCAAUCCUGCUGUGUGUAUAGACUAGGAAGCAAGAGGCUGCAGAGAAGCACUGCAGAAAGGGAGCCAGGGUCCUGGCCAAUAGCAAGCUAAAUGGGAGUCAGCAGUGCCCUGGCAGCCAGGAGGGCCAAGCCUUUCCUGGGGUUCAUCAGGCACAGCAUCGCCAGCUGGACAAGGGAGGGGAUUGUCCUGCUCUGCUCUGCUCUGCUCUGCUCUGCUCUGAGGCAGCCUCAUCUUGAGUGCUUGGGCGCAGUUUUGGGUGCCACAAUGAAAGAAGACAUGAAGGGAUUAGAAAGUACUCAAAUAAAGUCUACAGGACAGGACUCAAGGAAAUGACAUGCAGCUGAGUCAGGGCAGAUUUAGGUGGGAUAUCAGGAUAUCAGGUUUUUUAACCAGAGGAUGGCUGGGCACUGGAAGAGUCUCUCCAGGGAGUGGUCACAGUAUCACGCCUGUCUCAGUUCAAGAAGCUUUUGGACAUUGCUCUCAGGCAUAUGGUAUGAUUCUCGAGGAUGGUCCUGUGCAGGGCCAGGAGUUGGACUUGAUGAUCUUGAUGAGGCCCUUCCAAUUCAACUUAUUCUAUGACUCUAUGGUUCUGUCCUGGCCACUCAAGGUAUAUUGCUUGGUCUCACCAGAUUUUGAUCUGCUCUUGCUGGUCUGAAUUUGUCACUACUGGCUAAUGAUAUUUCUCACAAAAGACCAAGUGCCUUUUCUCCAUUUUCUCCAGAAAUGUGAACAUGUACUCUAUAAUCCUAAAAAAGUCUUUUCCUUGAAACAGCACUGUCUUAUGCCCAGUAUUCUUUCCAGAUCUUAAGGAGAAAGAAGGUGAGAUACUCUAUCCAAAAAUACUCUCAUCUGCCUCAUGAUUUCCAGACCACUGUGCAUCCUGUUCAACAUCCUGGUUUGGUGGGAACUUGCCAGGGCCCCAGGACUGGAACUCAAGUUCUUGUUUGCAGGUGUGUUUGUCCACCCCAUGGUACACUGAACCCAGUGAAAGGAGAGGGGGCACCUUGCCCUUUUUCACCUGCAUCACUUGGCAACAACAGCCCUGGAAUUUUCCUCACCUCCUAACCUGGCUGGACUCUUUUCUGGAAUGACCUUUUGGUGGUCUCCACAGAAGACCCCUGUACAACCACCACAACAAAUGGACUGAGAUGGGAAAAGUGUCUCCCCCAAAGACUGAGACAUGAGACCCUUAUAUAGAAAACCCUCUUUUUCUCCCAAGGACUGAGAUUGAAACCUCUAACCCAGGGGGGAGGGUGUGUGGGGGAGGCAAGUUGCUGCAGGUGUGACCACUGGACCAAGAAGACAAUGGCCCUUGCUCACUGCUGACCAGGUGAGAUCAUAAGACUACUGUAUUUUUCCCCCCUCCUUCCCAAUUCUCAAUAGAAAAAUUCUAAUAAACCCCCCCCGGAUUAGCCUGACAUUUCGAGAUCACCCCGAACCUGGAAGUGACUCCUCGACUGGACCUUGACUGGACCUUGAAGAAUACCGUCGCCUCUAUAUUUGGUUGCUAUACCUCCCUUUCUCUUAACCCUUUUCUGUAGGUUUCUCUCUCUCUUUUCCCCAAUUCCCACCAAUGCAUUUUGCUGUGAUUAUUCAAUAAAGUACACUGGUUUUGAUGGUUACUGCAAACCCCUUGCUGUGUUGGUGUAUUGUACCCUGAGAUCAAGUAACGAACCAUCACGAUCUCCAUUCGUAAGGACGGAUCAUGACAGUAGGUAAAAUGAGGGACGCAUUACAAUGAAGCAGUAGAUAUAUUCUUCCACUAUUCUUUUCUAUAAAAUCAUGGUUUUGUAUAGCAUGUCAUUUUCUAGAAAGACCCAUUUUUGCAACUGAGCCCAUCAGUCUACGUGAAAAUAUAUUGCAAAAAGCACAAAAGGUAUGAAUAGGCAGUGACAAGUGAGGCAAAGAAAAGAGUAUGAGAAGUAGCUCCGUGAUACUAAAAUGAGACAAGAAGGAGGAGGGGGUGCUCCACUUGACAGAGCAGAGAAUCCUCCGCAGUCCCUGGAGGACUCCUAGUGAAGCAGGUUGUCUCCCAUCAGUCCCUGGAGAAGCGUGGAGGAACACAGAGCUACACUGCAGCCCGUGGAGGGCUCCAUGCUACAGCAGGUGAAUGUGCCUAGAAGGAAGCUGCAGCUUGUGGAGGGAGGGCCAGAAAGCCAUCCUGGAGCUCUUCUUGAGUGGAAGAGUAUGUGCAAAUGUCCAACAGCUGCUAAAUCGAAUCUAGUCUCUUUCCCA